UACGGAGGGCGCAAGCGUUGUUCGGAAUCACUGGGCGUAAAGCGCGUGUAGGCGGCUUGGUAAGUCGGGUGUGAAAGCCCGGGGCUCAACCCCGGAACUGCAUUCGAAACUGCCUCGCUCGAGUCCCGGAGAGGGUGGUGGAAUUCCCGGUGUAGAGGUGAAAUUCGUAGAUAUCGGGAGGAACACCAGUGGCGAAGGCGGCCACCUGGACGGUGACUGACGCUGAGACGCGAAAGCGUGGGGAGCAAACAGG
rnacentral:rRNA from 1 species